AGAGUUUGAUCCUGGCUCAGAACGAACGCUGGCGGCGUGGCUAAGGCAUGCAAGUCGAACGGACGUAUCUGGAAGGAAACGGAAGGGUACGUUAGUGGCGGACGGGUGAGGAAUACAUGGAUAACGUACCCCAGACUCGGGGAUAGCGGCGGGGCUUCGGUCCCUUUGCGAAAGCGCCGGUAAUACCCGAUGACCCCGUAGCACCGCAUGGUGCAGCGGGCAAAGCUCCGACGGUUUGGGAUCGGUCCAUGUCUUAUCAGCUUGUUGGUGAGGUAACGGCUCACCAAGGCAACGACGGGUAUCGGGCGUGAGAGCGUGGCCCGACACAUCGGAACUGAGACACGGUCCGGACACCUACGGGUGGCUGCAGCAACGAAUAUUCCGCAAUGGGCGAAAGCCUGACGGAGCGACGCCGCGUGCAGGAAGAAGUCCUUCGGGAUGUAAACUGCUGUCAGGGGUUAGGAAUAACGACCAGCCCCAGAGGAAGCACUGGCUAACUCCGUGCCAGCAGCCGCGGUAAUACGGAGAGUGCAAGCGUUGUUCGGAAUCACUGGGCUUAAAGCGCGUGUAGGCUGAAUGCCAGGUGUCGGGUGAAAGCCCUCGGCUCAACCGAGGAAUGGCCCGGCAAACCGGCAUUCUUGAGGCAGGUAGAGGUGGCUGGAACGACUGGUGGAGCGGUGAAAUGCGUAGAUAUCAGUUGGAACGCCAGAGGCGAAAGCGAGUCACUGGACCUGUCCUGACGCUGAGACGCGAAAGCGUGGGUAGCGAACAGGAUUAGAUACCCUGGUAGUCCACGCCGUAAACGAUGCGCACUAGGUAUGAGAGGAUCUGACGCCGAUCGUGCCGAAGCAAAAGUGGUAAGUGCGCCGCCUGGGGAGUACGGCCGCAAGGCUAAAACUCAAAGGAAUUGACGGGGGCUCACACAAGCGGUGGAGCAUGUGGAUUAAUUCGAAUCAACGCGAAGAACCCUACCUGGGUUUGACAUGCACGGAUGCCCUCUUGGAAACAGGAGUAAGCUGCCUUCGGGUGAAAUGUGCACAGGUGCUGCAUGGCUGUCGUCAGCUCGUGCUGUGAAGUGUCGGGUUAAGUCCCUUAACGAGCGAAACCCCUAUCGUUAGUUGCCAGCGGGUCAUGCCGGGGACUCUAGCGAGACUGCCGGUGUCAAACCGGAGGAAGGUGGGGAUGACGUCAAGUCAUCAUGGCCUUUAUGCCCAGGGUGUCC
rnacentral:rRNA from 1 species